CGAAGCUGAAACAGAAACAAAACCAAUUACCAGCAUGCACUAAGACAAUGUUCUGUGGUCUGUUCAUUCCACUGCUAAGUAUCCUUGGUUUAUUCUGCAUAAAACAGCAUAUACAGUGGAACCUUGGUUCUUGAACUUAAUUCGUUCCUGAAUACCGUUUGAAAUCUGAAAUGUUCGGAAACCAAAACUAUUUUGCUUAAAGGAAUCAAUGUAAAAUAGAUUAAUGCAUUCCUAGACAACCAACCAUCCUGUCUUAGUGGCUUAAGACAGACACUCCCACUGCCAUGAUGGCUGCUCCAAAAACAUUUCCAGCUCAGAAAUUAUUUAUCCAGAAAGGAUGUACUGAAUGAACUUAGUGACACAGAAUUCAUCAGAAGAUACUUUUUAGACUUUGCAGGAUUCUCUUUAUCACCGAUCUAAUGAGGGAGGCCUUACAGAGUGACACAGAGGAGUAAUCCACUUACUGCCAAAAUAAAGGUGUCAUCAAAGGCGUGCGGCGCAGUGGGCUCAAAGUCCAGGGUGUACUGGCGGCUGCCACAGGAGGUGGAGGCGCAGCAGUUGCACAUGCAGGAGUGGUACCUGAGACGGCCUUCAUCCAGGUAAGGGUGAGCCAACGCCUCCGUCACCGUCAACCGCUUGUCCUGCACAACAGUCGGCUGUAAGCAGCAGCAGCAGCAGCAGCAGCAGCAGCAGCAGCAGCAGCACCGGUAGCACCACCACCACCACCACCAACACCACCACCACUAGCAGCAACCUUAAACUGUGCUGUAAGAGUUGUCCAGCCAGGGAAUGUUACUGAUGAAUGUUAAUGUGAUGUAAUACAAGAAGCUUAUAAAACCAGACUAGAGGAACACUCCCACCCACACAAGCCAGUGCAGGACCACAAGUGUCCCUCCACACAGCUGGCUGAUGUGGCAGCUGCACCUGAAUUGGCACUUGAUAUCAACUGGGAGAGAAAUUCUGUUGUAUCAUUCCUUAUAAAAUGAAAACAUUGAAAGUAGCAGGAAGGAUACCAAUGCUGAAAAACUGAAGAGGACCUGGAGACACUGUGUGGAGGAAGACAUGAGAAAAAUGGAGAGUGUGUGGAGAAAGACUAAAGACCUGGAGACAGUGUGUGAAGGAAGACAUGGGAAUGAUGGAGAUAGUGUGUGGAGGAAGACUGAAUAAGACUUGGAGACAUUAGAAGAAUGAACACCAGGGAAGAGAUCACCUACAGCCACAAAAAGAUAGGAGACACUCAUAAACCAUCAAUCCCCCUAUGAUAAAAUGAAGCUGUCAAACCAAAAUGAUGAUAUUGAAGAGAGCCACAAGUUACUGAAAGCCACAAUGAGCUUCCUUAUCACACACUCACACACUUGCAUUAUAUAUCAGACAGUCAAGGUCUUCCAAACUGCACUCGAGUCCUGAAAACUGUCUUGCCUCAACUAGUAAAGAGUUCAAAGAGU